rnacentral:rRNA from 1 species
UGCAAAGGUUUCAUUGGGUUGGACGGAGAUUGGUCCUCGAGUGUAAAGGCAGAAGGGAGCUUGAUUGCAAGACCCACCCGUCGAGUAGGGACGAAAGUUGGCCUUAGU